GAGGCGUCGCUUUCUAGUGUCUGUGGUGUCGGCGCUGCAGGAUGACGCGAGCCUCUCGCGUCCCUGGUUUUCUCGGUCGCAGCGUUGAGUUAUUGGGUGGAAAGGUAGCUUUCUCUUCCUUGUACAGCUUUUUGUUCCUCUCAUUAGCCGUUCUUCUGUUCUUGUGAACAUCGCUUAGGUUACUACAGAAUCUCCACAGUCCUAGGGCCUAGCUUUCUUCCUUUGGAAAUCUGGCUCCUACUCCGGGAUUCUGGUGCAUCUUCCGCAGCGUUCAGUGUAGCUGCUCGGGCUAAUCUGACAUUCGGCCAGUCCCGCCAGGUUUCAGGGCGCUGGUCUCUGGUUUCCUGAGUUUUACCUUUUCCCAUUAGUGAAUAGAAUCUGUGGGUUAGGAACCCCUAAAAUCUCAACAUGUUUAUUUUUGCCAGUUUAUCUCCAGUUUUCCUUUGUAAACUUACACGUAUCAUAUUCUUGGACCCUGUAUAUUAUGUUGCCUAUUUUGAUUUCGCUUCUUGAUUUGUGGAUUUACCACAAAAUUACCAAGGUCUCAAAUAUAGUCACAUGUCACAUAAGGAUCUUUCAAUCAAUGCAUAUAACAUGGUGAUUCCGUAAGAUUAUAAUACUGUGUUUUUACUGUACCUUUUAUGUGUUUAAAUACACAAAUACUAUUCUGUUACAAUUGCCUGCAAUAUUGAGUACAGUAACAUGUUGUUCAGAUUUGUAGCCUAGGAGCAAUCAGCUAUAACGUACAGCCUAGGUGUGUAGUAGGCUGUACCAUCUAGGUUUGUGUAGGUACACUCUGUGAUAUUCACACAAUGAUGAAAUCACCUAAAAUGCAUUUCUUAGAACAUAUCCCCAUCAUUAAGCCACACAUGAUUAUACCUAUAAGUUUAUUUAUGGUGGAGAAAUACAAUAUUCACAAAGGUCAAGACAUAUCCUGGGACAGCACCACUGUAAAAAUCAGGGAUAAAUUUACUUUUUACUGAGGAGUCUAGCUUAUUAAAGUGCUCAAAACUUUAUUAUUUGGGGAGCCAGAACUAGAAAGGGAGAUAUUUAAUAAUUUUGGUUUAUCUCAAGCUGUAACCAGCUUUCUCUUUCAUGACUGUGAUACCCUUUGUCACAGUGGAUGGAGUGUAAAAUAUCACUUUUGAUUCUGCAGCCUUAACCUCUUUUUGUUUAGUCUCUUGAUGUAUGCACAAUAAAUCUUUUAAAGACUUUGUUGGGUACUUUGUAACCUGAUACAGGCUUUUCCUUAGGGCCUGAGCCAAGAAACAAAAUAAAUAUUUUCACUCAAAUUAGUGUGACUUUAGUUGUAUGUUACUGUAUGGUAACUUUAGAUUUUUCAGAAAA
rnacentral:lncRNA from 1 species